CGGCGGACGGGUGAGUAACACGUGGAUAACCUACCUAUAAGACUGGGAUAACUUCGGGAAACCGGAGCUAAUACCGGAUAACAUGUUGAACCGCAUGGUUCAACAGUGAAAGACGGUCUUGCUGUCACUUAUAGAUGGAUCCGCGCCGCAUUAGCUAGUUGGUAAGGUAACGGCUUACCAAGGCAACGAUGCGUAGCCGACCUGAGAGGGUGAUCGGCCACACUGGAACUUAGACACGGUCCAG
rnacentral:rRNA from 1 species